rnacentral:rRNA from 1 species
CUGACGGAACUCUUCGGAGGGAAGGCAGCGGAAUGAGCGGCGGACGGGUGAGUAAAACGUAAGGAACCUGCCUCAAGGAUUGGGAUAACUCCGAGAAAUCGGAGCUAAUACCGGAUAGUUCAUCGGACGGCAUGGUCCGNUGAUGAAAGGCGCUUCGGCGUCACCUUGAGAUGGCCUUGCGGUGCAUUAGCUAGUUGGUGGGGUAACGGCCCACCAAGGCGACGAUGCAUAGCCGACCUGAGAGGGUGAUCGGCCACACUGGGACUGAGACACGGCCCAGACUCCUACGGGAGGCAGCAGUAGGGAAUCUUCCACAAUGGACGAAAGUCUGAUGGAGCAACGCCGCGUGAGUGAUGAAGGUUUUCGGAUCGUAAAACUCUGUUGUAAGGGAAGAACACGUACGAGAGGAAAUGCUCGUACCUUGACGGUA